AUUGAACGCUGGCGGCAGGCCUAACACAUGCAAGUCGAGCGAGCGGCGGACGGGUGAGUAAUGUAUGGGGACUGCCCGAUAGAGGGGGAUAACUACGGGAAACGGUGGCUAAUACCGCAUACUAUCGGAUAACCCAUAUGGGAUUAGGUAGUAGGUGGGGUAAAGGCUCACAUAGGCGACGAUCUAUAGCUGGUCUGAGAGGAUGAACAGCAACCAUGGGACGUGGACACGGCCCAGACUCCUACGGAGGCAGAAGUGGGGAAUAUUGCACAAUGGGGGCAAGCCUGACGCAGCCAUGCCGGGUGUAUGAAGAAGGCCUUAGGGUUGUAAAGUACUUUCAGUGUGGAGGCGUUACCUGCAGAAGAAGCACCGGCUAACUCCGUGCCAGCAGCCGCGGUAAUUC
rnacentral:rRNA from 1 species